GGACAAUAAGGAGCUAAGGAAGCCUUGCCUAUUUAAGGGCCAGUUAAAGGCCUCUUGCCACUGUCAUUGGUGGGGACCACACCAUAUGGACAACUAACCAGUGAUCUUUGAUCGGAAAUGAGGAGCAUCAAUGUUGGCAUGACUCAUGCCAAAGAUCAAGUUGGUAGGUGCUGCAUCUCUCAUCAGCGGUCUCCCACAAGGAGAACGGUAAAGAAGUCUGACUUCAGCAUUCAAUUUAUCAGCUCCACACCAGCAAUGUAAGAUUUUCAAAACAAACUUAAGCCUAAGCCAAAAGAUGAACAAACAAAUACUGUUCACUGACUAGAUUCAAUGAGCUGACACCUCUCCCCACUUUCAAAUGGACAGUCAAGUUAUGAGGAUUGAUUAUCAUCAGCACAUGAUGACCCAACAAUUCAAAGACUACUCACUUCCUUCAGUUCAUAGAUCGACAUUCAUAUAUUUCGUAAAGUUGUAACUCAGACACAUGUAAUAGCUCUCAAGAGUUAGCUUAAGUUGUUAAUCAGUAAGUAGUAUCUCUGGGACUCUUGACACAAGAGUACGAAUGAUCUUUGA